rnacentral:antisense_RNA from 1 species
AAAGGCUGUUUCAUCCCACAUGGGCACGAAACAUACCACAUUUUACGGAGGAUGUAGCCCCAGAGAAGAGGGAGGUGGAGGAGAAGCAUAAAUGAAAAGCACCUUUUCCUUCCUCUAGAAGGUAAAUAAUUAUAAAAUAUGCACAGAGAAUUUCUGACCUUGUGACGUUUGGGAGUGAGGAGAUCCCAUACAGAGGCAUCCAGGUAUUUCCAGAGAUCCUGUGGCAGGUGAGGUCUGCCCUCGCUGGAGCCAACUCGUCUAUAAUAUCUUCCUAACAGCAGAUGCCAUAGAGGAGAGGUCGAGGUCCUUCCACUGCAGCACCAAGUGGGGUGUAUAAAGCCACAAUGCCCGUGAGGGCUGUGGUGUGAGUCCGCUAGCCGUGAGAGACAGAUGAAUUACAAAGGGAUGGAUUUAGUGCACUCUUUCCUCUCUUACUCAGCCAGUGAACGAUGAAACAAAACUUCUUCCCGAGCCUCAAUGAGAAUUGUGCCAUAGUUUGAAGGUAGGAGAAUUUCAAGCCAUUAAUCGUCUAUGAAUACUGAAUACCAGUGAGAAUGGCUCCUUCAGGUCUAUCAGCUUAUUGCUGCUUCUAUG